rnacentral:rRNA from 1 species
GACGAACCGUGCAAACGUUAUUCGGAAUCACUGGGCAUAGAGGGCGCGUAGGCGGCUUUCUAAGUCAGGGGUGAAAUCCGGCAGCUCAACUGUCGCAGUGCCUUUGAUACUGGAGAGCUCGAGGGAGGUAGGGGUCUGUGGAACUUCCGGUGGAGCGGUGAAAUGCGUUGAUAUCGGAAGGAACGCCGGUGGCGAAAGCGACGGACUGGAUCUCUUCUGACGCUGAGGCGCGAAAGCCAGGGGAGCAAACGGG